rnacentral:lncRNA from 1 species
GUGGGAGCAGCCCAGCUCCCGCUCCAUCCCGAGGUCACCUGCUGCGGCAUCUUCUCGGGCGCGGUGAGGCCAGUGCGGCCCCUGGAGCGCGGAGACGCCUCCCGAGCCCUGGGCCCCGCGGGGGAGGCCCUGGGCCUGGGCCGGAGGAGCUCGCCUGGCACUGCCUGGGGCUGCUCUUGGGGACCUGGUCGUGAAGCCGCCACUGCCCACCCUAGCCUAGGGCUGCUGCUCUGGUUGCUUCCAUAAAAAGAAAGUGGAACCGGAAUAAAGAAGAAGAUGAGAAGGAGAAGGAGGAAACGACGAAGCAGCAGCAGCAGCAGCGGAGCAGCGGCGGCGGUGGCCUGGAAGAGCCAUGCCUGAAGGUCUGGGGCGACUGUGGUCUGAGAACCAGCNGGCCCUGCUGCUCUGGUUGCUUCCAUAAAAAGAAAGUGGAACCGGAACGAAGAAGAUGAGAAGGAGAAAAUGACGAAGCAGCAGCAGCAGCGGAGCAGCGGCGGCGGCGGCCUGGAAGAGCCAUGCCUGAAGGUCUGGGGCGACUGUGGUCUGAGAACCAGCAACCCCCCAGCCGCAGCCUCCGCCUGAACGACAGCAAGUGGCCCGAGGAUGCGCCCACCUGCCUCGGGAACUGGCGUGGGGCCUCUUCGGCCUCCCGACACAGCCUGUGCCUUCCUACCGCCUUGACUCAGUCUACGUGUCCCCUCUGCCUCCCUCCCCUGCCUGGUGGAAGGAAUUCCGAUGGAGGUCAGGGGGGUAAACGAGGAGAAAAUGCAGACCUGCAGCCUGAGAAGUAA